UCGAAGUGGUGGGGACACGGGUAUAUAAGCAGGCGCCCGAGACGAGACUGGCACUUCAUGCUCAACUGUAUUACAGAAAUUCAUGUACCAGUAUCUACUGUAUUGACAUAAUGAAGAGAAAACGACAAUUGAGUUUAAAAUCAACAAAUGAAUCUCGUGAAGGACAUUCAACCAGAUUCUUCUACGGUAACUCACAGACAAAAAAAUCUGACGAAAAUUUGACAGUUUCUCAAUCACCAACAACUUUAAUGACUGAG